rnacentral:rRNA from 1 species
AUUGAACGCUGGCGGCAUGCCUAACACAUGCAAGUCGAACGAGUGGCGGACGGGCGAGCAAUGUCUGGGAAACUGCCCGAUGUAGGGGGUUAACUACUGGAAACCGUAGCUACUACCGCAUAACAUCCGAUGUGCCCUGAUGGGGUUAGCUAGUGGGUGGGGUAACGGCUCACCUAGGCGACGAUCCAUAGCUGGUCUGAGAGGAUGACCAGCCACACGGGAACUGGGACACGGUCCAGACGCCUACGGGAGGCAGCAGAGGGGAAUAUUGCACAAUGGGCGCAAGCCUGAUCCAGCCAUGCCGCGUGUGUGAAGAAGGUCUUCGGGUUGUAAAGUACUUUCGGCGAGGAGGCGUUACUCGCAGAAGAAGCACCGGCUAACUACGUGCCAGCAGCCGCGGUAAUAC